AUUGAACGCUGGCGGCCUGCCUAACACAUGCAAGUCGAACGAGUGGCGGACGGGUGAGUAAUGUCUGGGAAACUGCCUGAUGGAGGGGGAUAACUACGGGAAACGGUAGCUAAUCCCGCAUACCAUCAGAUGUGCCCAGAUGGGAUUAGCUAGUUGGUGGGGUAACGGCGUACCAAGGCCACGAUCCCUAGCUGGUCUGAGAGGAUGACCAGCCACAGUGGAAAGUGGGCACGGUCCAGAGUCCUGCGGUAUGCAGCAGUGUGGAAUAUUGCACAAUGGGGGCAAGCCUGAUGCAGCCAUGGCGCGUGUAUGAAGAAGGCCUUCGGGUUGUAAAGUACUUUCAGCGGGGAGGCGUUACCCGCAGAAGAAGCACCGGCUAACUCCGUGCCAGCCGCCGCGGUAAUAC
rnacentral:rRNA from 1 species